UACGUAGGGUGCAAGCGUUGUCCGGAAUUAUUGGGCGUAAAGAGCUCGUAGGCGGUUCGGCAAGUCGGAUGUGAAAUCUCCACGCUUAACGUGGAGGGGCCAUUCGAAACUGCUGUGACUCGAGUCCGGUAGGGGAGUGUGGAAUUCCCGGUGUAGUGGUGAAAUGCGUAGAGAUCGGGAGGAACACCCGUGGCGAAGGCGGCCACCUGGGCCGACCCUGACGCUGAGG
rnacentral:rRNA from 1 species